AAACUUGUUGAAGAACUGCCCUUGUAUUAUCAGCUAAUGUUGAACUAUAUAGUUUAGUCUUAGCAUUCGAGCCAAACCCCAUUUUGCUGAUCUUGUGAUUGUGGGCCGUUCCCUCAACUAAAGCCUGCUCAGUUAAGUGAACACUGUACUGCAUUAUUAAUGUCAACACUUCAAAAAUGGAUUUCUGUUUAACAAUAGUUAUGGAGUUCUAUUAAGAUCGACUUGUAAUGGCUUAAAAUUUUAAAGAAAGCAAGGUUCAAAAGUGAUUGAAUAGUAUUAAGAUUGUAGGCGCUUAAUGAAUAAUAAAGAGUUUAUAUUAUUAUUCGAUACUAUCAAUUCGGUUACGAAUAUUAUCAUUAAAUAGAUAAAAGAAGUAAAUAAUUUUUUUGAAUAAAAUAAUGAAUAACUUUGAGUCAAGAAAAAUUUGUCUUUGUUUCCAAGAAUUUUAAAGUUGCGCGAUGGGUGUUAUUUUCGCACGAUGAAAACUUUGUAAUUACGUCGAAGUCCCUCAUUUUUGUAACAUUUCAAGGUAAGAACAUAAUUUGUAUAUAUUUUACGCUGAUCACCGGAAGUCAGUAAUGAUAAUAUAUUAUUGCGUGUAUUAUCCUUAUUAGGGUUACAUAGAGCAGCUAGAAAGCAUGUUGAAGGGAGAAGUUGAUAGAGAAAAAAAAAAAAAUUGGGUUUGAGAACAUUAGUGUCAAGGGCGAGUUAAUUUAUAGAGAGAAAUUCCUAAUGGAUAAAAAAAUUAAUAGAAUUGUAUAAUAAUGAUAUAGAGUACUUUUCUUUUUUUGACUUUGUGUAUAUUAUAAUUAAUUGAUGUGUAUUUGCUUAGAUGAGCAACUUUUUUUGUUUGAAAAUUUAAGGAACUCAACCUUCAUCAAUAUAUAAGAUUUAUUAUAUAUUGUAUGUUACACGCACAUGCGUACGAGCACGCACACACACAUAUAUAGUUAUUUUCUAGUAUAAGUGCCCAUAUUUUUUUAUACAAACACACUUUUAAGUGAUACAGUCUAAGAGAGUUAAUUUUUAAUACUAUUAAACCGCACUGCUUCAUAAUUUAUUCAAAAUGAAGUAUUAAAUCUCAUAAAUUAAGAGUAUGUUUGCAUUAAAAUUAAUGAAAAUAGCUGCAUUAGAGAAUGAUUUAUAUAAUCAUUCUUAAUAUCCCUACCUUGCUAAAAUAAAAAUAUCUUUAUACAUAAGACUUUUGUUUGUACUUUGUAAGAUUUGAUUAAAUUAUCACAUACCAAGUUGCAAUAUCAGUAAAAGUCAAGGAUACAUUGUUAUUAAGUUUUAGUCAUUGCUGCUUAGCGAACCAUAAAAACUAACCUAUUAGUUGUAAAAGUCAUCAUUUAGGUCCUCCACGUCAUCCCGACCCUGAUGGGGCGAUGCAUUUUCAUGGUUCUAUAAAUAUGCGAUAUAAAAUAUUUAAAAAAAAAAAAGCUCCAAAAAAAAAAAAACAAAAUAACUUCCAAUAAUACCAAAAAAAAUAAAAAAUCAAACCUGUUAUCAAAAUCAGUUAAAAUACACAACUCAUAAAUUUAUUACAGGUAGCGAGUUAUUAUUGUCAAGCAAGAACUGAUGAUAUUACCUUAACAAGAACAGAAGCACAUCCAGUGAGUUUUCCUAGAAAUUCUUCUUCACUUCUGAACUGUCAUAAG
rnacentral:lncRNA from 1 species